UAGUUUUGUCAAUGAUAUAUAAACAUCUGAACGCCAUAUGUCCCAAACACCCGUCAUCAAUUUUUGUUCGAUUAAACACCAAAAAAUAAGGCGAACCUCUGCAAGAUGAAAAUAGUCAAGAUUAUAUGUGCGAUGUUCAUUAUGCUAAUAUCAGUUUUAGCAGGAACAGCUAGUGGACGGCCACCAACCGGACGUCUUGAAUCUACCAGAAUAAAAAGGGAUGAUAAUGACCACAAUGUGGAUAGAAUUGUAAAGUAACUGGUGUGAAUAGAUUAGUGGCUACGUGACACCAAACACUGGAUUUCUCAUCAUUGAAGCUGAACUAAAUAUGUUUUGAAUUAAAGUUGAUCUCUGUA